rnacentral:rRNA from 1 species
CCUACGGGUGGCAGCAGUGGGGAAUAUUGGACAAUGGGCGAAAGCCUGAUCCAGCCAUGCCGCGUGUGUGAAGAAGGCCUUCGGGUUGUAAAGCACUUUCAGUGGGGAAGAAAGCCUUGGGGCUAAUACCCUCGAGGAAGGACAUCACCCACAGAAGAAGCACCGGCUAACUCCGUGCCAGCAGCCGCGGUAAUACGGAGGGUGCGAGCGUUAAUCGGAAUUACUGGGCGUAAAGCGCGCGUAGGCGGUCUGAUAAGCCGGUUGUGAAAGCCCCGGGCUCAACCUGGGAGCGGCAUCCGGAACUGUCAGGCUAGAGUGCAGGAGAGGAAGGUAGAAUUCCCGGUGUAGCGGUGAAAUGCGUAGAGAUCGGGAGGAAUACCAGUGGCGAAGGCGGCCUUCUGGACUGACACUGACGCUGAGGUGCGAAAGCGUGGGUAGCAAACAGGAUUAGAUACCCGGGUAGUC